CAAAUACUCCCUCCGUCCGGAAAUACUUGUCAUCAAAAUGGAUAAAAGGAAAUGUAUCUAGACGUAUUUUAGUUUUAGAUACAUCUAUUUUUAUCCAUUUUGAUGACAAGUAUUUUCGGACAGAGGGAGUAGAAA
rnacentral:pre_miRNA from 1 species